AUGCUCUAAUAACCCGUCUCUUAACUUUUAACUAAAAAAACUAAGAAACGGUUCUUAAAACUCUUAUUUAAGAGCUGGUUCUUAGGUUUUUUAGUUAAAAGUUAAGAGACGGGUUCUUAUAUUUC
rfam:Brassica oleracea var. oleracea cultivar TO1000 chromosome C8, whole genome shotgun sequence